ACUGAAUCCAUAGGUUAAUGAGGCGAACCGGGGGAACUGAAACAUCUAAGUACCCCGAGGAAAAGAAAUCAACCGAGAUUCCCCCAGUAGCGGCGAGCGAACGGGGAGGAGCCCAGAGCCUGAAUCAGCAUGUGUGUUAGUGGAAGCGUCUGGAAAGGCGCGCGAUACAGGGUGACAGCCCCGUACACAAAAGCGCAUGUGCUGUGAGCUCGAUGAGUAGGGCGGGACACGUGGUAUCCUGUCUGAAUAUGGGGGGACCAUCCUCCAAGGCUAAAUACUCCUGACUGACCGAUAGUGAACCAGUACCGUGAGGGAAAGGCGAAAAGAACCCCGGCGAGGGGAGUGAAAAAGAACCUGAAACCGUGUACGUACAAGCAGUGGGAGCCCCACCACUAAGCCAGUGGUGAACUCCACAUACGCAUCCUUUGCUGAGGAUACGGUUAACGGAGCGAAAGCGACGUUCAACCGCAAAAGAAGCAGAGGGGGCUUAGUGGUGGGGUGACUGCGUACCUUUUGUAUAAUGGGUCAGCGACUUAUAUUCUGUAGCAAGGUUAACCGAAUAGGGGAGCCGGAGGGAAACCGAGUCUUAAUUGGGCGUUAAGUUGCAGGGUAUAGACCCGAAACCCGGUGAUCUAGCCAUGGGCAGGUUGAAGGUUGGGUAACACUAACUGGAGGACCGAACCGACUAAUGUUGAAAAAUUAGCGGAUGACCUGUGGCUGGGGGUGAAAGGCCAAUCAAACCGGGAGAUAGCUGGUUCUCCCCGAAAGCUAUUUAGGUAGCGCCUCGUGAAUUCAUCUCCGGGGGUAGAGCACUGUUUCGGCUAGGGGGCCAUCCCGGCUUACCAACCCGAUGCAAACUGCGAAUACCGGAGAAUGUUAUCACGGGAGACACACGGCGGGUGCUAACGUCCGUCGUGAAGAGGGAAACAACCCAGACCGCCAGCUAAGGUCCCAAAGUCAUGGUUAAGUGGGAAACGAUGUGGGAAGGCCCAGACAGCCAGGAUGUUGGCUUAGAAGCAGCCAUCAUUUAAAGAAAGCGUAAUAGCUCACUGGUCGAGUCGGCCUGCGCGGAAGAUGUAACGGGGCUAAACCAU
rnacentral:rRNA from 1 species